rnacentral:rRNA from 1 species
CCAGACUCCUACGGGAGGCAGCAGUGAGGAAUAUUGGUCAAUGGGCGCGAGCCUGAACCAGCCAAGUCGCGUGAGGGAUGACGGUCCUACGGAUUGUAAACCUCUUUUGCCGGGGAGCAAGCGUGCGUUCGUGAACGCGCGUCGAGAGUACCCGGAGAAAAAGCAUCGGCUAACUCCGUGCCAGCAGCCGCGGUAAUACGGAGGAUGCGAGCGUUAUCCGGAAUUACUGGGUGUAAAGGGAGCGUAGACGGCGAGGUAAGCCUGAAGUGGAAGCCCGCGGCCCAACCGCGGAACUGCUUUGGGAACUGUUUUGCUGGAGUAUGGGAGGGGUAAGCGGAAUUCCUGGUGUAGCGGUGAAAUGCGUAGAUAUCAGGAGGAACACCGGUGGCGAAGGCGGCUUACUGGACCAUAACUGACGUUGAGGCUCGAAAGCGUGGGGAGCGAACAGGAUUAGAUACCCGAGUA